rnacentral:lncRNA from 1 species
CCAUAUGAAUUUAGUGAUUCCACAGAACAUUUACUAUAUAAUCCAUAAUAUUUUCAUUCAUAUGAAUAUCAAUUCUCAAAAACUAAAGUAAUAUCAAAUUUAUACUAAACUACUGUACAUUAUAAACAUAAUAUGACCACUUUUCCAACAAACUUCUCUUCAAUAUGCGAUUUCUUCAAUCUGUGCUUUCUUCUUCUUCUUCUUCUUAUCACAUGUCCUAGAGUCAUGAGUAGUUGCACCACACUCUCUGCAUUUUCGUACUCUUUUUUUUUGGCUUUCAUAACUGCCUUUUCUCUUUCACUUAUUCUUGCAAAUAUUCUGGUGCAAGAAUGGUGAUAUCCCCUGAAGGUUGCUCACCAAUCAUAGCUGCCAUGUAAUCAUUUUUCGUAAAAUUCGUGCCAUUAUUGUCAAAAUCAGAACUAAGCUGAUCGUCACAACUAGAACCUGCAUCCACAUAUGAAUAACCAUUAAAAGCGAAAACUACAGACACUACUAAUCAACUGCAUAACAAUUAUCAAGCUAUAUUAUAUUAUAGUGAUUUAUAUUAUCAAACUAUAGUUAUUGCAGAUUUGUAUUAUAAUGAUUGUACAUUUAUAUUGAACAUAUAACAAUGAUAAAAUACAAAACAAAACACAUGUCAUCUAAACAAUACAAAACAGAACAAAAGACUAGGACCUAAUUUCAAAACGAAGCACACUAAACAAAACAAGUUCAGAUGUGACCAAAACACAGAACAAGUCCAGAUUUGACAAAAACACAACACAAGUCCAAUAAUAAACCAAAGCAUGAACAUAAAAUUAUCACUGAAUACUCAAUUUACUAAUUAAACUCAUCUGAUAUACUAGUCAAAUUCAUAUAUCAUUAACAGAAAUUAAUCAUUCACAGGUAUGCUAAUUGAAUAAACACAAAACUACAAGUUUCACACACAACAACUACUAAAAUCAGCAUCUCCAUAUCUACAUAAUUAAUCACACACAACUACUAAAAUCAAUCUCCAUAUCUACAUAGUUAAUCACACACAACAACUACUAAAAUCAGCAUCUCCAUAUCUACAUAGUUAAUCGAACAAUAAAACUAAAGCAAUCACCUUGAUUAUCACUGAUUUUGAUGAGAUCUUUUGUUAUCAUCGUACACAGAUUAUAAAAUCAACACCUCCAAAACUGUUUUUGAUUUCGAUUUCUACAGCUGGCGAAGAUGUGAAGUGAAGAAGAUAGAGCACCGAUAGACGAAAUCUACGCGAGAGAGAGGAUCGAUAACACCGAGAGAGACAAUCGUUAGCAGCGGAGAAAAGAGAUUUCAAAGAAAUCUGUUCGUAGAGAGAGAAAGAUUUGAGAGAGAAAGUUAUAUCCGUUA